rnacentral:rRNA from 1 species
UACAGAGGUCCCAAGCGUUGUUCGGAUUCACUGGGCGUAAAGGGUGCGCAGGUGGGUUGGCAAGUUUGAUGUGAAAGCCCCGGGCUUAACCCGGGAAUGGCAUUGAAUACUGCUGAUCUGGAGGAUUGGAGGGGGGACUGGAAUUCUUGGUGUAGCAGUGAAAUGCGUAGAUAUCAAGAGGAACACCAGUGGCGAAGGCGAGUCCCUGGACAAUACCUGACACUGAGGCACGAAAGCCAAGGGAGCAAACAGG